rnacentral:rRNA from 1 species
GACGAACGCUGGCGGCGUGCUUAACACAUGCGAGUCGAACGGAAAGGCCUGCUUUCCCUUGUGGAUUGCGGGUACUCGAGUGGCGAACGGGUGAGUAACACGUGAGUGAUCUGCCCCCAACUUGGGUAUAAGCCUGGGAAACUGGGUCUAAUUCCCGAUAGGACUGCAGGGUGGUGCCUGUGGUGGAAAACGAUUUUCUAGUGGUUGGGGAUGAGCUCGCGGCCUAUCAGCUUGUUGGUGGGGUAAUGGCCUACCAAGGCGGCGACGGGUAGCCGACCUGAGAGGGUGGACGGCCACAUUGGGACUGAGAUACGGCCCAGACUCCUACGGGAGGCAGCAGUGGGGAAUAUUGCACAAUGGGCGGAAGCCUGAUGCAGCGACGCCGCGUGGGGGAUGACGGCCUUCGGGUUGUAAACUCCUUUCGACCGCGAGGAAGCCACCUGGUUGGAAGGGUGGUGACGGUAGUGGUAGAAGAAGCACCGGCUAACUACGUG